AGGCAGAGUUAACUUCUUACCACC
rnacentral:siRNA from 1 species